UACGUAGGGUGCAAGCGUUAAUCGGAAUUACUGGGCGUAAAGCGUGCGCAGGCGGUUGUGUAAGACAGAUGUGAAAUCCCCGGGCUCAACCUGGGAACUGCAUUUGUGACUGCACAGCUGGAGUGCGGCAGAGGGGGAUGGAAUUCCGCGUGUAGCAGUGAAAUGCGUAGAUAUGCGGAGGAACACCGAUGGCGAAGGCAAUCCCCUGGGCCUGCACUGACGCUCAUGCACGAAAGCUAGGGGAGCGAACGGG
rnacentral:rRNA from 1 species